CGCGUAGGUGGUAGUGCAAGUCUGGGGUGGAAUCCCAGGGCUUAACCCUGGAACUGCCUUGGAAACUGUAUUACUUGAGUCAGUGAGGGGAGGGUAGAAUUCCUGGUGUAGCGGUGAAAUGCGUAGAUAUCAGGAGGAAGGCCUGUGGCGAAGGCGGCCCUCUGGCGCUGAACUGACACUGAGGCGCGAAAGCGUGGGUAGCAAGCAGGAUUAGAUACCCUGGUAGUCCACGCCCUAAACGGUGGGUACUAGGUGUGGGGCUCGUAAGGGUUCUGUGCCGAAGCGAAAGCAUUAAGUACCCCGCCUGGGGAGUACGGCCGCAAGGUUGAA
rnacentral:rRNA from 1 species